rnacentral:rRNA from 1 species
GUAGUCCACGCCGUAAACGUUGGGCGCUAGGUGUGGGGGGCAUUCCACGUCCUCCGUGCCGCAGCUAACGCAUUAAGCGCCCCGCCUGGGGAGUACGGCCGCAAGGCUAAAACUCAAAGGAAUUGACGGGGGCCUGCACAAGCGGCGGAGCAUGCGGAUUAAUUCGAUGCAACGCGAAGAACCUUACCUGGGUUUGACAUAUAGGGAAAACUGUCAGAGAUGGCAGGUCCGCAAGGGCUCUAUACAGGUGGUGCAUGGCUGUCGUCAGCUCGUGUCGUGAGAUGUUGGGUUAAG